ACCACUGGUCAACAGUCCCUGUGCAGAACCCAAGUGCAGGGCAUCACAAGUUAAAACUGCAAACUGAACUGGACAAAGUUUAGGGAAACCAGGUCUUAAUGGUCAAGAGACAAUAGCCAAGAGUCAAAUAUGCACAGUAUACCAAACAGGAGAAAAGAAGAGAAAGUGCUGAUAAGGACAAAACAACACGAGCAAUGAAUGGCAGGCAAGGUGGAGAGUUAUAUGCACCUAAGGAGGGUGUGGACUCAAAGAGCUGAUGUGAUAGGACUGAGUGUUGCCACAGCCAUGUAUGAUGCUUUAGCCAAACAACAGAAACUUUAACCCUUCGUGCAAAACAAGCAUUGAGCAACAUCUGCAGUGAUGUAGUGCACAGAAGAAGCUGGAGACAUACCAGAUGGCACUAAAGCUUUCAUCACCAGUUGAAUGACCUCCGGUGCAAGUCAUCAGCCGAAUACACCAUCUUGUUUGAAUGUAAAACAUUUUUGCAAGCUAAGAACAUGAAAACAGAGAGAAAGGUGUUACAAAGCAGCCUGCAGUGACUGGAUGAAGAGACCCAGCACAACACAGCAGACUCAGGAAGGAAGAUAGGUCAUGCAGAGUGAGGGACACAAGGGAAGAUGGAAACCAACACGAAGAAACGUGUGAGAAAAGGGAGAAAAUAUAGAAAAAGGAGAAGUGACUUCUGGACAACAGAAUCAGAGUCUAGUGAAUCAGAGAAAGAAAAGGAAAAAUUGCGUCAUAUGAAUAAGACCAAUCAAGAUCCAUCUGCUUCAAACAAUGGGGGCCCUUUAGGAAGAGGAGGACGAAGAGAGGGCGCCCCAGAAAGCGGAGGAAUGAAAAGAAAAACGGCCUCAUGGAAACAGUGAACGAGACUGAUAAUCUUUCCAUCAUUAAUCUAACAAAUUUUG